UUCAGCAAUAUAAAUUAGUGAGAUGCCUGAUAUUUUGCGUGCCAGAAAAGAUGUUAUUUUUCUCUGAGUAAGUGAAUAAGUUUCACUGCCUUCUUGAUAACAUAUGUUAGUCAUAGCUCUUUCUUGGAUUUUGCUACUGAUAUUAAAAAUAUUUGCCAGAUUUUCAUUUGCUUUCAAAGCACUUGUCCAAAAAGGAUUUAAGCCAAUUCUUGCAACGGAGUUAAAUAAAUCGUCUGUACUAUAAAAAAUGCUUUAAAAUACCGUUUAUUCGUUUAAAUAAUCAAAUUGCCUUGCAAUACAACAAUGAUUCAGUAUCUCAGUGAAUUAAGUAAAUGGAUAGAGACAUAAAAAUUUUUUAUAACCAAUGUUUUCCAUACACAUUUCCCAUAUGAUACUACCCCUCUUUGAUACUAAUAAUGUUGUGCUGUGGUUUUUUGUGUAGAUUAACAGAGGACUUCUUUGCAAUAACUCAUCUUUGGUACUUUGGUUGAAUCAUAUCUUCACCCUUAAUAACUUCUUUAAAAAAAGCACGUCAAUCUAGAUAAACAGGAGACGUUAUUUUAUAUUUAUUAAAGUUCUGUCAACCACCUCCUCACCUUCAGCUAACCUCACUUUGAUAUGUCAAAUGCCACCACCCCCAUCGUGUGAGACAUCAUUGUUAGCAGCAUUAAAAUGUCAAUUCAACAGUGUCAAAAAAAUUAAAUCGAUUAAUGUACUUGUUAAUAGUGAGCUAAGAUUUCUGGUAAUAAUGAAUAUUUUAUUAACUUCAUACAUUGGUAUGUUAAAUGGCUAUUCUAUAGUAUGAUACAACAUUUUAAAGGGCAUACAAUCUACCACCCAACUGUGUAUAAAAAUUUUGGUUAGAUAGGAUAUUGUAUAUUCUUUAACUAACCGACGUUAAUUGCCUGAUGAGAACGGACCUAUUAACGGUUUGAUGAGGACGGCUCAUCAUAAUACUGCUCAGACUAGCAAACAACCUUGAAUAAGUGUAGAAAUGUUAAAGUUCUUAGAAACAAUGCUGAAAACAUACACUUAUAGUCGAAAACAUAGUUUCUGUUCAAUUCUUUAGAUAAACUUACUACUAUGUGUGUGCUGUUUUACUUUCGAUAUAAUUUUUACUUAGAAUGUGUGCUUAAUUUAUGACUAACUUUAGGAUUGAGAGUUGAGACACAUAAUUAAGAUAUAAAAUUGUAAGAUUUACAUGACUGAAUAAAUUUAAAUUACAUGA